rnacentral:lncRNA from 1 species
GGCGGCGGGAAGAUGCCGCUCUUUGGCGUAAAUUGCAAUCGAUUAGGGAUCGUUUCUCAGAAUCAAGUUAGAAGUGAGAGUUCAGAUAAGUGAGGCCGCCAUUGCUGCUUUGAACACCUCAGAAGGGGAGAAUGGAUUUAUCAGGAGUGAAAAAGAAGAGCUUGCUGGGAGUCAAAGAAAAUAAUAAAAAGUCCAGCACUAGGGCCCCUUCACCUACCAAACGCAAAGACCGCUCAGAUGAGAAGUCCAAGGAUCGCUCAAAAGAUAAAGGGGCCACCAAGGAGUCGAGUGAGAAGGAUCGCGGCCGGGACAAAACGCGAAAGAGGCACAGCGCUUCCAGUGGUAGCAGCAGUACCAGGUCUCGGUCCAGCUCGACUUCCAGCUCAGGCUCCAGCACCAGCACUGGCUCAAGCAGUGGCUCCAGCUCUUCCUCAGCCUCCAGCCGCUCAGGAAGCUCCAGCACCUCCCGCAGCUCCAGCUCUAGCAGCUCUUCUGGCUCUCCAAGUCCUUCUCGGCGCAGACACGACAACAGGAGGCGCUCCCGCUCCAAAUCCAAA